AUUGAACGCUGGCGGCAUGCCUUACACAUGCCAGUCGAACGGUAACAGGUCUUCGGAUGCUGACGAGUGGCGAACGGGCGAGUAAUACAUCGGAACGUGCCCGAUCGUGGGGGAUAACGAAGCGAAAGCUUUGCUAAUACCGCAUACGAUCUACGGAUGAAAGCAGGGGACCGCAAGGCCUUGCGCGAACGGAGCGGCCGAUGGCAGAUUAGGUAGUUGGUGGGAUAAAAGCUUACCAAGCCGACGAUCUGUAGCUGGUCUGAGAGGACGACCAGCCACACUGGGACUGAGACACGGCCCAGACUCCUACGGGAGGCAGCAGUGGGGAAUUUUGGACAAUGGGCGAAAGCCUGAUCCAGCCAUGCCGCGUGCAGGAUGACGGCCUUCGGGUUGUAAACUGCUUUUGUACGGAACGAAAAGACUCUGGUUAAUACCUGGGGUCCAUGACGGUACCGUAAGAAUAAGCACCGGCUAACUACGUG
rnacentral:rRNA from 1 species